UCCUUUUUAGCAUAACAAAUGCGUGUAAUUUGUAAUUACAAGAUCAAUAUCUAAUAGUUGAGUAGGAA
rnacentral:tRNA from 1 species